rnacentral:rRNA from 1 species
UACGUAGGGUGCAAGCGUUGUCCGGAAUUAUUGGGCGUAAAGAGCUCGUAGGCGGUCUGUCGCGUCGGCUGUGAAAACCCGAGGCUCAACCUCGGGCCUGCAGUCGAUACGGGCAGACUAGAGUUCGGUAGGGGAGACUGGAAUUCCUGGUGUAGCGGUGAAAUGCGCAGAUAUCAGGAGGAACACCGGUGGCGAAGGCGGGUCUCUGGGCCGAUACUGACGUGAGGAGCGAAAGCGUGGGGAGCGAACAGG